UCUUUUGUAAUAGUGUGGCUAAACACUGCCUCCGCAGAAGAAGAUCAACGCCUGCUUCUACAUCACUGCCUGUUUAGCCUCACCCACCGAUUUGCACAUGUAGUGGUGUAACCCAGUUACAAAAUAUAUUUAAGGAAAAAAAACAAACACUUUGAUUUCUCUCUCUCUCUCUAAGCCAAUCAAAAUGUUGUAUUGCCUUUGUCCCGCCUUGGUGCAUUGUUCAUUAGUUGAAUUGGCUCAGUGCCGAUCCAUGUACAAAACAGAUCACACCAAGUAGAGAGAGUGAGAGCACAUCUUACUGCUGAUCGAAAAAAAGUUAUAUAUAUAGUAGAGAGAUCGCAGUGGUACAGCAUCGAUUGAUCAUCAGUUUCAUUAAUCAGGUUUCCUGCUUAUCUUGGUCGGGUCUUUUAGUAAGGAGGGGAUUCUGUUCGUUGAUCAGUUAGGAGUGUGAAAUCUUAGAUGGCGAGCCAACCAACUGGGUCUUCUGGAGUCUCUGCGAACUUGAACUUCAAAUCCUGAGAAACAUUACGUGAGGGCAAGUUAUUUUAAAGUCGUCAGAAGUGGCAACUACUGAAACUUAUAUGGAGAAGACAAUGCUUUACAAAUUGCUAAUGGUGUCAAGGUCUCAGUGUCUGACAGGGCUCUGAGUGACACGGUAACACGCUUGGAACGGGCCCGAGGUCUGAUAGAGGUGCGAUUCCAUUUCUAUUGCCGCCUUUGUGCCCGCAGCACUUCUUCCAUGGUGCGUAUCCUCCACAGUCACCUCUCUCCCCCUCCCGUUUUCUCUCUAUUCUUCUCUCCUUGACAUGUUCCUUUUCCCCAUAUCUAAUUUAAAAUUGGCUGGUCAGCACAGACCUGACCUCUCCAUUACGCAACUCAUAAUUGACUUCCUAGAGAAUUUAAGUCAUUUAAGUGUCUCUUUCCCAAAUCAGCAGGUUAGCAGGCAGGUCUCAGGGAAUCUGAGGCUAUGAACAAGUGUAGGUGUCUCUCUGCGUACGUGAAAAGCCUUUAAUGCAAUUUUCUUUGCUUGCAAAUUGACAUAUCUUCGCAGUGACGACUAUAUCCUGAAGUUAUGCUUGUUGUAAUCUUCAUAAGCAUGCAUUUGCUGGAGAGGUGAAUAUCAGACUUCAAAGAAAUGUAGAUGACUAUGUUUGCUUCCAAAAUGGGCGUCUUUUCCAGCUGAAAAAACCUGCCGUAGACCCGCACUGAUUGGCUUUGUGGGUUGGCCAGGUAUGAUGGGCUUAGACAGGCUUAUUUAGGAUAAUCUGUGACAUUGCAUGAGGAAAUCGUCCUCACAUGUCGGCAAUCCAGACAGCCUGCACUCCUGCUAGCAUACCAAUCAGUGGAUUGAAAAGCUUUUGGUUUAUUCUCCUUAUGAGAAGCAUAGAAAGUGUACAUCAACAACCAGUGUUUGAAUGGAAAUGUCUUUCAGGUGAGGCACAUUUUUGUAAACUAUUUUAAAGAUCUUAUGGUAUGUUUGUAAUUUUUUAGAUCUAGAAGAAAAUGAUAAUGGCAAUGUUUAUGUUUUUUUCAGUGCUUCAUCUAAUGGUGAUGUUAAAGUGUUCAACCACUCUGUUGUUGCUAUGGUUACUUCCUCAGGUUAGGUAAUAAAUACAAUUUUCAUUGAAAUACAAUAAAUAAUCAUGAAAUAAAAUAAUUAG